GUGACCUCAAAUCAGGUAGGACUACCCGCUGAACUUAAGCAUAUCAAUAAGCGGAGGAAAAGAAACUAACAAGGAUUCCCCUAGUAACUGCGAGUGAAGCGGGAAAAGCUCAAAUUUAAAAUCUGGCGGUCUUUUGGCUGUCCGAGUUGUAAUCUAGAGAAGUGUUAUCCGUGCUGGACCGUGUACAAGUCUCCUGGAAUGGAGCAUCAUAGAGGGUGAGAAUCCCGUCUUUGACAUGGACUACCAGUGCUUUUGUGAUGCGCUCUCAAAGAGUCGAGUUGUUUGGGAAUGCAGCUCAAAAUGGGUGGUAAAUUCCAUCUAAAGCUAAAUAUUGGCGAGAGACCGAUAGCGAACAAGUACCGUGAGGGAAAGAUGAAAAGAACUUUGGAAAGAGAGUUAAACAGUACGUGAAAUUGCUGAAAGGGAAACGCUUGAAGUCAGUCGCGUCAUCCAGGGAUCAACCUUGCUUUUGCUUGGUGCACUUUCUGGUUUGAUGGGUCAGCAUCAAUUUUGACCAUUGGAAAAAGGCCAAGGGAAUGUGGCAUCUUUGGAUGUGUUAUAGCCCUUGGUCACAUACAAUGGUUGGGAUUGAGGAACUCAGCACGCCGCAAGGCCGGGUUUAAACCACGUUCGUGCUAGGAUG
rnacentral:rRNA from 1 species